UCCAGCCAUGCCGCGUGUGUGAAGAAGGUCUUCGGAUUGUAAAGCACUUUAAGUUGGGAGGAAGGGCAGUAAGUUAAUACCUUGCUGUUUUGACGUUACCAACAGAAUAAGCACCGGCUAACU
rnacentral:rRNA from 1 species